AAGAUCAGAAAAAUUUAUUUUAUUAAAGUGUCACAUGUUGAUCUUACACAAAACUAAAUAUUUACAAGUACAAUCACAUAAAAAAAAUCAGAACCAAGCUUAUAAAGACUUAUGAGACACACAAGCACUCAAGGUAAAAAAAUAAAAAAUAAAAAGAGAUCUCAUGUAUUUAUCUUGCAAACGUAAUAAAUUGAUCAGUUUGAUUUAAACCAAGUUUAAAAGAAAUUUAAUACUGGAAAACACACCUACGUUUAAAACUAAGACUUACGACUUAAAACAAAAUUAUGGGUAAAAUGCAUUUAAGACUCAAAUGACUGUACUUCAUGUUAAGUGUAUAAUUAAGUCGUGCUUUUGUAACCACAAAUUACAUAAAACGUUUUUUUUUAAUAGAUACACAAGUUAACUAUUGAACAUAUGAACUGUUUACACAGAGAUAAUAUGCCUCACCUGUGUCGGAUCUUCGUGCAAUAAUGCAAAAUUAAAUUAAACUCAACACUUUAAUGUUUUAAUUUUGCAAAACGUUCAAAGUCAAUGUACUCAAGAGUAACAAACAAAUCUCCAAGGACAUGAGAAGUGACAAUUUUGUUUUUAUACAACUGCAAAACAACAUUAUUGACGUUAUACCACGAUUGGUUCCUCUUUAACUGACAAAUUACCUACACACUAGUCCAUGAAAGUGAGCGGAGGAGGGGGAAACGAAUCAACAUGCAACCAUUCAAAUUAGAUUUGUAAAUGUAAUUACAACUGCAUACCCAAUAUAAUUACCAUACCAUAAGUGUUUUUUUUUUUAAACUGGUGGAAAUGAGACCUGUCAAUACUUAUUCAGCUGCAUCCCAAAUUCAUCAAUUUACCAAAAGGGAUUCCAUUUAAAAUGACUUACCAAUAGCGAAUCCUCUAAAAUUGACAAACAUUUUAAUCUGUC
rnacentral:lncRNA from 1 species